rnacentral:rRNA from 1 species
AACGAACGCUGGCGGCGUGGAUAAGACAUGCAAGUCGAACGGGAUUACUUUUGGUAGCAAUACCGAAAGUAAUUCAGUGGCGAACGGGUGCGUAACACGUGGGCAAUCUGCCGAAAAGUGGGGGAUAGCUCGCCGAAAGGCGAAUUAAUACCGCAUGUGGUGAGGGACGACAUCUUCCUGAAUCCAAAGCCGGGGCAACCUGGCGCUUUUUGAGGAGCCCGCGGCCUAUCAGCNGUUGGCGGGGUAACGGCCCACCAAGGCUAUGACGGGUAGCUGGUCUGAGAGGACGACCAGUCACACUGGAACUGAGACACGGUCCAGACACCUACGGGUGGCAGCAGUCGAGAAUUUUUCUCAAUGGGGGCAACCCUGAAGGAGCGACGCCGCGUGGAGGAUGAAGGCUUUCGGGUUGUAAACUCCUGUCAUUUGAGAACAAGGUGCACCGUUAACUGCCGGUGCAUUGAUAGUAUCAGAAGAGG